rnacentral:rRNA from 1 species
UAUGCACGCUGGCGGCGUGCCUAAUACAUGCAAGUCGAGCGAACAGACGAGGAGCUUGCUCCUCUGACGUUAGCGGCGGACGGGUGAGUAACACGUGGAUAACCUACCUAUAAGACUGGGAUAACUUCGGGAAACCGGAGCUAAUACCGGAUAAUAUAUUGAACCGCAUGGUUCAAUAGUGAAAGACGGUUUUGCUGUCACUUAUAGAUGGAUCCGCGCCGCAUUAGCUUGUUGGUAAGGUAACGGCUUACCAAGGCAACGAUGCGUAGCCGACCUGAGAGGGUGAUCGGCCACACUGGAACUGAGACACGGUCCAGACUCCUACGGGAGGCAGCAGUAGGGAAUCUUCCGCAAUGGGCGAAAGCCUGACGUAGCAACGCCGCGUGAGUGAUGAAGGUCUUCGGAUCGUAAAACUCUGUUAUUAGGGAAGAACAAAUGUGUAAGUAACUAUGCACGUCUUGACGGUACCUAAUCAGAAAGCCACGGCUAACUACGUG